GCCUGGGUGGCCCAGUCGGUUGAGCUUCCGACUUCGGCUCAGGUCAUGAUCUCACGGUCUGUGGGUUCGAGCCCCACGUCGGGCU
rnacentral:tRNA from 1 species